rnacentral:rRNA from 1 species
AUGAUACGAUCAUGUUUGCUGACAGCGAUCCGCGGCCCGAUAGGCAAAUUUCCUAUCAAGUACCUAGGGGUCCCUCUGCAUGUAGAUAAACUAACGAGGGAAGAUAUCCAACCUUUGCUGGAUAAAAUCCUCAAGAGGAUUGUUGGGUGGAGAGGGAAGCUCCUUUCCUAUAAGGGGAGGGUGAUUUUGAUUAAAACCUGCCUGUCCAGCAUUCCUAUUUACCUGCUCUCCUUUUUUAAAUUCCCCAAAUGGGCCUUAGAUCUCAUCAACUCUCAGAUGGCUAAUUGCCUCUGGAAUGACUAUGAAGUACAUAGGAAAAUCCAUUUGGCAAACUGGCAACUAGUGUGCAUGAAGCAGGAGUUUGGGGGUUUGGGAAUCCCAAACCUCCAUGACCUAAAUAUUUGCUUGUUAGGCUCCUGGGUUAAGAGAUAUAUGGCUGGCGAGGGGGAACUUUGAAAAAACCUCAUCGAUUACAAAUACCUUAGCAACGUUCCUAACAUAUUUUGUGGUGACUCUGUUGGGGCCUCACAAUUCUGGAAAGGUGUCGUAUGGGCUGCAAAAGCAGUUAAAAUGGGAUCCAGGUGGGUGGUGGGGAAUGGAGAGCAAAUCAGAUUCUGGGAGGAUUCUGUUGGCCCAGACCCGACACCGAGUACUUUCCGGCGACGGUGA